rnacentral:rRNA from 1 species
AACGAACGCUGGCGGCAUGCCUAACACAUGCAAGUCGAACGAGACCUUCGGGUCUAGUGGCGCACGGGUGCGUAACGCGUGGGAAUCUGCCCUUAGGUUCGGAAUAACUUCGGGAAACUGAAGCUAAUACCGGAUGAUGACGUAAGUCCAAAGAUUUAUCGCCUAAGGAUGAGCCCGCGUUGGAUUAGCUAGUUGGUGAGGUAAAGGCUCACCAAGGCGACGAUCCAUAGCUGGUCUGAGAGGAUGAUCAGCCACACUGGGACUGAGACACGGCCCAGACUCCUACGGGAGGCAGCAGUGGGGAAUAUUGGACAAUGGGCGAAAGCCUGAUCCAGCAAUGCCGCGUGAGUGAUGAAGGCCUUAGGGUUGGUAAAGACUCUUUUACCCGGGUAUGAUAAUGACAGUACCGGGAGAAUAAGACCCGGCCUAACU